rnacentral:tRNA from 1 species
GAAGGUAUAGCUCAGUGGUAGAGUGCGUGCUUUGCACACACAAGGUCCCAGUAUCUUCA